UGAGUGGCGGACGGGUGAGUAACGCGUGGGCAACCUGCCCUGUACAGGGGGACAACACUUAGAAAUAGGUGCUAAUACCGCAUAACGGGGGGAGCCGCAUGGCACCCCCCUGAAAACUCCGGUGGUACAGGAUGGGCCCGCGUCUGAUUAGCUGGUUGGCAGGGUAACGGCCUACCAAGGCGACGAUCAGUAGCCGGCUGAGAGGUGGCCGGCCACACUGGGACUGAGACACGGCCCAGACUCCUACGGAAGGCAGCAG
rnacentral:rRNA from 1 species